AACGAACGCUGGCGGCAGGCUUAACACAUGCAAGUCGAGCGCCCCGCAAGGGGAGCGGCAGACGGGUGAGUAACGCGUGGGAAUCUACCCAUCUCUACGGAAUAACGCAUGGAAACGUGUGCUAAUACCGUAUACGUCCUUCGGGAGAAAGAUUUAUCGGAGAUGGAUGGGCCCGCGUUGGAUUAGCUAGUUGGUGGGGUAAAGGCCUACCAAGGCGACGAUACAUAGCUGGUCUGAGAGGAUGAUCAGCCACACUGGGACUGAGACACGGCCCAGACUCCUACGGGAGGCAGCAGUGGGGAAUAUUGGACAAUGGGCGCAAGCCUGAUCCAGCCAUGCCGCGUGAGUGAUGAAGGCCCUAGGGUUGUAAAGCUCUUUCACCGGUGAAGAUAAUGACGGUAACCGGAGAAGAAGCCCCGGCUAACUUCGUGCCAGCAGCCGCAGUAAGAC
rnacentral:rRNA from 1 species